AUACGGAGGGUCCAAGCGUUAUCCGGAAUCAUUGGGUUUAAAGGGUCCGCAGGCGGUCAAUUAAGUCAGAGGUGAAAGCCCAUCGCUCAACGAUGGAACUGCCUUUGAUACUGGUUGACUUGAGUUAUUCGGAAGUAGAUAGAAUAAGUAGUGUAGCGGUGAAAUGCAUAGAUAUUACUUAGAAUACCGAUUGCGAAGGCAGUCUACUACGUAUAUACUGACGCUGAGGGACGAAAGCGUGGGGAGCGAACAGAAUUAGAUACCCUAGUAGUCC
rnacentral:rRNA from 1 species